CUAUGCGCCUUGCCAGCCCGCUCAGUCAGAGUUUGAUCCUGGCUCAGAACGAACGCUGGCGGCGGGCCUCAUACAUGCAAGUCGAGCGCGAAAGUCCGCAAGGAUGAGUAAAGCGGCGCACGGGUGAGUAACACGUGGAUAAUCUACCCUUUGGAUUGGAAUAACCUGUCGAAAGACGGGCUAAUGCCGAGUAAGCUCUCGGGAGCGUGAAGCUCUUGCGAGGAAAGAUGGCGCAAGCUAUCGCCGAUGGAUGAGUCUGCGUCCCAUUAGUUAGUUGGUGAGGUAACAGCUUACCAAGACGAUGAUGGGUACCUGGUCUGAGAGGAUGAUCAGGCACACUGGAACUGAAACACGGUCCAG
rnacentral:rRNA from 1 species